GACGAACGCUGGCGGCGUGCCUAAUACAUGCAAGUCGAACGAACUCUGGUAUUGAUUGGUGCUUGCAUCAUGAUUUACAUUUGAGUGAGUGGCGAACUGGUGAGUAACACGUGGGAAACCUGCCCAGAAGCGGGGGAUAACACCUGGAAACAGAUGCUAAUACCGCAUAACAACUUGGACCGCAUGGUCCGAGCUUGAAAGAUGGCUUCGGCUAUCACUUUUGGAUGGUCCCGCGGCGUAUUAGCUAGAUGGUGGGGUAACGGCUCACCAUGGCAAUGAUACGUAGCCGACCUGAGAGGGUAAUCGGCCACAUUGGGACUGAGACACGGCCCAAACUCCUACGGGAGGCAGCAGUAGGGAAUCUUCCACAAUGGACGAAAGUCUGAUGGAGCAACGCCGCGUGAGUGAAGAAGGGUUUCGGCUCGUAAAACUCUGUUGUUAAAGAAGAACAUAUCUGAGAGUAACUGUUCAGGUAUUGACGGUAUUUAACCAGAAAGCCACGGCUAACUACGUGCCAGCAGCCGCGGUAAUACGUAGGUGGCAAGCGUUGUCCGGAUUUAUUGGGCGUAAAGCGAGCGCAGGCGGUUUUUUAAGUCUGAUGUGAAAGCCUUCGGCUCAACCGAAGAAGUGCAUCGGAAACUGGGAAACUUGAGUGCAGAAGAGGACAGUGGAACUCCAUGUGUAGCGGUGAAAUGCGUAGAUAUAUGGAAGAACACCAGUGGCGAAGGCGGCUGUCUGGUCUGUAACUGACGCUGAGGCUCGAAAGUAUGGGUAGCAAACAGGAUUAGAUACCCUGGUAGUCCAUACCGUAAACGAUGAAUGCUAAGUGUUGGAGGGUUUCCGCCCUUCAGUGCUGCAGCUAACGCAUUAAGCAUUCCGCCUGGGGAGUACGGCCGCAAGGCUGAAACUCAAAGGAAUUGGCGGGGGCCCGCACAAGCGGUGGAGCAUGUGGUUUAAUUCGAAGCUACGCGAAGAACCUUACCAGGUCUUGACAUACUAUGCAAAUCUAAGAGAUUAGACGUUCCCUUCGGGGACAUGGAUACAGGUGGUGCAUGGUUGUCGUCAGCUCGUGUCGUGAGAUGUUGGGUUAAGUCCCGCAACGAGCGCAACCCUUAUUAUCAGUUGCCAGCAUUAAGUUGGGCACUCUGGUGAGACUGCCGGUGACAAACCGGAGGAAGGUGGGGAUGACGUCAAAUCAUCAUGCCCCUCAUGACCUGGGCUACACACGUGCUACAAUGGAUGGUACAACGAGUUGCGAACUCGCGAGAGUAAGCUAAUCUCUUAAAGCCAUUCUCAGUUCGGAUUGUAGGCUGCAACUCGCCUACAUGAAGUCGGAAUCGCUAGUAAUCGCGGAUCAGCAUGCCGCGGUGAAUACGUUCCCGGGCCUUGUACACACCGCCCGUCACACCAUGAGAGCUUGUAACACCCAAAGUCGGUGGGGUAACCUUUUAGGAACCAGCCGCCUAAGGUGGGACAGAUGAUUAGGGUG
rnacentral:rRNA from 1 species